rnacentral:rRNA from 1 species
UACGAAGGGGGCUAGCGUUGUUCGGAAUCACUGGGCGUAAAGGGCGCGUAGGCGGCCGAUCAAGUCGGGGGUGAAAGCCUGUGGCUCAACCACAGAAUUGCCUUCGAUACUGUUUGGCUUGAGACCGGAAGAGGUUAGUGGAACUGCGAGUGUAGAGGUGAAAUUCGUAGAUAUUCGCAAGAACACCAGUGGCGAAGGCGACUUCCUGGCCUGUUCUUGACGCUGAGGCGCGAAAGCUAGGGGAGCAAACGGG